rnacentral:rRNA from 1 species
UGAUAGAUUAUCUUAGCGGCGGACGGGUGAGUAACGCGUGAGAAACCUGCCUUUCACAAAGGGAUAGCCUCGGGAAACUGGGAUUAAUACCUUAUGAUACUUUUUUACCGCAUGGUGAAGAAGUUAAAGCGUAAAGCGGUGAAAGAUGGUCUCGCGUCCCAUUAGUUAGUUGGUGAGGUAACGGCUCACCAAGACCGCGAUGGGUAGCCGGCCUGAGAGGGUGAACGGCCACACUGGAACUGAGACACGGUCCAGACUCCUACGGGAGGCAGCAGUGGGGAAUAUUGCACAAUGGAGGAAACUCUGAUGCAGCGACGCCGCGUGAACGAUGAAGGCCUUCGGGUCGUAAAGUUCUGUCCUAGGGGACGAUAAUGACGGUACCCUAGGAGGAAGCCCCGGCUAACUACGUGCCAGCAGCCGCGGUAAUACGUAGGGGGCGAGCGUUGUCCGGAAUUAUUGGGCGUAAAGGGUUCGUAGGCGGUUUUUUAAGUCAGGUGUGAAAGGCAUAGGCUCAACCUGUGUAAGCACUUGAAACUGAAAGACUUGAGUGAAGGAGAGGAAAGUGGAAUUCCUAGUGUAGCGGUGAAAUGCGUAGAUAUUAGGAGGAAUACCAGUGGCGAAGGCGACUUUCUGGACUUA